rnacentral:rRNA from 1 species
CUGGUGUGAGGGUUGCGUGGAAUCGCUAAACCGAAACGGGAAGAUCUUCUGGGCUAUUGGGUUGCUUACACGCGGGUAGCGGAGUAUAGAUAGUUUGGAUGGGGUGAUAAGUUAGACGUUUCUCGUUAUAGCUGUUUGGAUGGGGUGCUUUCGUUGUAGUGCCCGGGUGAUGAGAUCCGGGAACUGGCUAUAUCUGUAGUUUUUAUUAAAUUUGCUAGGGUUAGGGUUACCCGCGCAUGAUGAUAAUGUCGUUAUUCUGUUUAAUAGUGUUAAAGAUUAGUUUUGACGCCUUCCUAUUUUAAUUUUUCGCGCUUGUUUAUGCGCUAAUAAGUAAUUUGAUUGGUUGCAUUCUUUCUCGGGAUUGGUCCGACUGUUUAUUAAAAACAUUUCCACUGUUUGAUUGUCUGUGGUAUGACCUGCCCGGUGGGUUUAACGGCCGCAGUAUAUUGACUGUGCGAAGGUAGCAUAAUUAAUUGCCCCAUAAUUGGGGGCUUGUUUGAAUGGUUUAACGUGACUAUGUCUUUAGAUUGCGCCCUUAGUUGAAUUUAAUUGCACGAGUACAGAAUCUGUGUUUUUGAGUUAGACGGAAAGACCCCGGGAUCUUUUGUUUUUGUCUGGGGCAGAUGGUAGUAUUUUAUUACCUUUGUGACCCGAAGUUUAAAGGAUUAAGUUACCCCGGGGAUAACAGAGUAAUAGUCCGUUAGAGUUCAUAUCGAUCGGGCUGUUUGCUACCUCGAUGUUGACUUGGGUGCCCCAAAGGUGCAGUUGUUUUUGGGCUUGGUCUGUUCGACCACUUUCACCCUCAUGAGUUGAGUUAAGACCGGCGUGA